rnacentral:rRNA from 1 species
UAGGCAUGCAAGUCGGGGGAAUCACUCGCAAGGGUGGGAACCGGCGUAAGGGGCAGUAAGGCGUGGGUACCCGCCCCGGGGUCCGGGAUAGCCCUGCGAGAGCAGGGGUAAUACCGGAUGACCUGGGGACAGCAAAGGCUUGCCGCCCCGGGAGGGGCCCACGUGGUAUUACCUAGUUGGCGGGGUGACGGCCCACCAAGGGGGAGAUGCCUAGCGGGUGUGAGAGCACGACCCGCGCCACUGGCACUGAGACACUGGCCAGACACCUACGGGUGGCUGCAGUCGAGGAUCUUCGGCAAUGGGGGCGACCCUGACCGAGCGACGCCGCGUGCGCGACGAAGGCCUUCGGGUUGUAAAGCGCUGUCGAGGGGGGGAAAGGCCGCAAGGCGUGAUCGAUCCCUGGAGGAAGCACGGGCUAAGUUCGUGCCAGCAGCCGCGGUAAGACGAACCGUGCGAACGUUGUUCGGAAUCACUGGGCUUAAAGGGCGCGUAGGCGGGCCGCCGCGUCCGGGGUGAAAUCCCACGGCUCAACCGUGGAACGGCCCCGGGUACGGGCGGCCUGGAGGGGGAUAGGGGCAGGCGGAACUGUGCGUGGAGCGGUGAAAUGCGUUGAGAUGCACAGGAACUCCGGUGGCGAAGGCGGCCUGCUGGGUCCUUUCUGACGCUGAGGCGCGAAAGCCAGGGGAGCGAACGGGAUUAGAUACCCCGGUAGUCCUGGCCCUAAACGAUGAACACUGGGUAGCGGCCCGGGCAUGGGGUCGCUGCCGCAGCCAAAGUGCUAAGUGUUCCGCCUGGGGAGUAUGGCCGCAAGGCUGAAACUCAAAUGAAUUGACGG